rnacentral:tRNA from 1 species
UGGCUGAGUGGCAAAGGCGUUGGCUUCUGAACCAAAGGUCCCAGGUUCGAAUCCUGG